GAUGAACGCUGGCGGCGUGCUUAACACAUGCAAGUCGAACGAUGAAAGCGGGAGCUUGCUCCUGCUGGAUUAGUGGCGAACGGGUGAGCAACACGUGAGCAAUCUGCCCCGAACUCUGGGAUAAGCGUUGGAAACGACGUCUAAUACCGGAUACGACGCGCGAAGGCAUCUUCUGCGCGUGGAAAGAACUUCGGUUCGGGAUGAGCUCGCGGCCUCUCAGCUAGUUGGUGAGGUAACGGCCCACCAAGGCGACGACGGGUAGCCGGCCUGAGAGGGUGACCGGCCACACUGGGACUGAGACACGGCCCAGACUCCUACGGGAGGCAGCAGUGGGGAAUAUUGGACAAUGGGCGGAAGCCUGAUCCAGCAACGCCGCGUGAGGGAUGACGGCCUUCGGGUUGUAAACCUCUUUCAGCAGGGACGAAGCGAAAGUGACGGUACCUGCAGAAGAAGGACCGGCCAACUACGUGCCAGCAGCCGCCGUAAUAC
rnacentral:rRNA from 1 species